rnacentral:tRNA from 1 species
AGCCCUGAGGUGUUACAUACGAAAUUGCAAAUUUUGAGAAGUAGGCUAGACGUCUACCGGGGCUU